CGGCCACAGAAGCCUCUGAACGCUCGCUCCUGUGACCGUCAGGCCACGGCCGGCCAGAGCUGGAGAGGGACCCGGACGGGUGCGGGGGCCCUCGGCCUCUGAACAAUCGUCUGCAUCUUGCUGAGCUCCUGAAUCCACCUCAUUAGUGCCAAGUGUGGGACCUCACGUGGUGUGUGUGAGUAAUACUCCAUGAAGAUCUUCCAAGGAAAAUGCGGUGUCUCCAGCCCACAGGUUUCUGAAGUAGGUGCACAUACAUUGUUUCCCAACGAUCCAGUCUUGACUUCGGACCGCAAGCCCAG